rnacentral:misc_RNA from 1 species
GAUGAAGAACGCAGCGAAAUGCGAUAAGUAAUGUGAAUUGCAGAAUUCAGUGAAUCAUCGAAUCUUUGAACGCACAUUGCGCCCGCCAGUAUUCUGGCGGGCAUGCCUGUUCGAGCGUCAUUUCAACCAUCAAGCCCUGCUUGCGUUGGGGUCCUGCGGCUGCCCGCAGGCCCUGAAAACCAGUGGCGGGCUCGCUAGUCACACCGAGCGCAGUAAUACAUCUCGCUUUGGGCGUGCGGCGGGUUCUUGCCGUUAAACACCCCCUUUUUACCAAGGUUGACCUCGGAUCAGGUAGGAAUACCCGCUGAACUUAAGCAUACCAAUAAGCGGAGGA